rnacentral:rRNA from 1 species
GAUGCAACGGAAGAACCUUACCAGGGUUUGACAUCCUGGGAAUCUCUUGGAAACUAGAGAGUGCCUUCGGGAACGCAGUGACAGGUGGUGCAUGGCUGUCGUCAGCUCGUGUCGUGAGAUGUUGGGUUAAGUCCCGCAACGAGCGCAACCCACGUCUUUAGUUGCCAGCAUUUAGUUGGGCACUCUAGAGAGACCGCCGGUGAUAAACCGGAGGAAGGUGUGGAUGACGUCAAGUCAUCAUGCCCCUUACAUCCUGGGCUACACACGU